rnacentral:rRNA from 1 species
GAACGCUGGCGGCGUGCCUAAUACAUGCAAGUCGAGCGAACAGACGAGGAGCUUGCUCCUCUGACGUUAGCGGCGGACGGGUGAGUAACACGUGGGUAACCUACCUAUAAGACUGGGAUAACUUCGGGAAACCGGAGCUAAUACCGGAUAAUAUAUUGAACCGCAUGGUUCAAUAGUGAAAGACGGUUUUGCUGUCACUUAUAGAUGGAUCCGCGCCGCAUUAGCUAGUUGGUAAGGUAACGGCUUACCAAGGCAACGAUGCGUAGCCGACCUGAGAGGGUGAUCGGCCACACUGGAACUGAGACACGGUCCAGACUCCUACGGGAGGCAGCAGUAGGGAAUCUUCCGCAAUGGGCGAAAGCCUGACGGAGCAACGCCGCGUGAGUGAUGAAGGUCUUCGGAUCGUAAAACUCUGUUAUUAGGGAAGAACAAAUGUGUAAGUAACUAUGCACGUCUUGACGGUACCUAAUCAGAAAGCCACGGCUAACUACGUGCCAGCAGCCGCGGUAAUACGUAGGUGGCAAGCGUUAUCCGGAAUUAUUGGGCGUAAAGCGCGCGUAGGCGGUUUUUUAAGUCUGAUGUGAAAGCCCACGGCUCAACCGUGGAGGGUCAUUGGAAACUGGAAAACUUGAGUGCAGAAGAGGAAAGUGGAAUUCCAUGUGUAGCGGUGAAAUGCGCAGAGAUAUGGAGGAACACCAGUGGCGAAGGCGACUUUCUGGUCUGUAACUGACGCUGAUGUGCGAAAGCGUGGGGAUCAAACAGGAUUAGAUACCCUGGUAGUCCACGCCGUAAACGAUGAGUGCUAAGUGUUAGGGGGUUUCCGCCCCUUAGUGCUGCAGCUAACGCAUUAAGCACUCCGCCUGGGAGUACGA